rnacentral:rRNA from 1 species
AAUAGACUACCCCGGUAGUCCACGCCGUAAACGAUGCCAACUAGGUCCUGGGGAGUAUCGACCCUCCUUUGGACCGAAGCUAACGCGUUAAGUUGGCCGCCUGGGGAGUACGAGCGCAAGCUUAAAACUCAAAGGAAUUGACGGGGGACCUGCACGAAGCGGUGGAGCGCGUGGUUUAAUUCGUCACAAAGCGUAGAACCUUACCAAGGCUUGACAUCUCUGGAAUCUCUCAGAAACGAGAGAGUGCCGCAAGGAGCCAGAUGACAGGUGCUGCACGGUCGUCGUCAGCUCGUGCUGUGAAGUGUCCCGUUCAGUCGGUUAACGAGCGCAACCCUUACCCUGUGUUAUACAUGUCACAGGGAACUGCCCCAGUUAAUGGGGAGGAAGGUGAGGAUGACGGUCAGGAUCAGGCGUGGCUCUUACGGCCUUGGGCCACACACACGCUACAAUGGGAAGUAACAAUGGGUCGCCAAGCCGCGAGGCGGAGCUAAUCCCACCAAACCUUCCCCCAAUUCGGAUUGCAGGCUGCAACUCGCCUGC